UUUUACUUUAAUUCUUUUUCUUAAAUAAUAUUACAAAUAACUAAUACAAAAAGUCGUAUCAUUCGAACGUAUGAUAGACUGACUUACUUCUCAUCUGCUUCACAAAUAUCUGUUAAGAAAGGUGAUCAAAUAUCCAUUAUUCUUAAUUAU
rnacentral:ribozyme from 11 species